rnacentral:rRNA from 1 species
CCGCGGUAAAACCGGUUACUCCUACGGGAGGCAGCAGUGGGGAAUCUUGCACAAUGGGCGAAAGCCUGAUGCAGCGACGCCGCGUGAGCGAUGAAGCCCUUCGGGGUGUAAAGCUCUUUCGACGGGAACGCGGUACCCGGAGAAGAAGCUGCGGCUAACUAC